rnacentral:misc_RNA from 1 species
UUGCACUUCUGUGCGAAAAAAAAAAAAAACCGAGUGACUGAAAGGGUUAACCUUAUGUUGCACAAAUAACAAGUUUCAACUGCUAUUCAUGGACUAGGUGCCUGUUUUUCAUUGCUUUAUUUUGCUCAACUGCAAUAUGUAUACCAGGGUAGUCCUUAUUUGGGGGUAAUCGAAAAAUAGUCAUUGCUACACACCCGAGACGUGUUUCACAUCAUAAACAAAAACUCUAUGUAAAGUUUCGUGCUGCUACAUCAAUGGGGACACGUACCUCCAUGAGAAAUUCCUACCAAAGAUACGCUCUGACGAUGUCUCCAACUCAAGCAACGGUAUCAGGACAUAUUUUCAAGAAUGACCUUGACUGGAUUGAAGAUGUACCCAGUACCGGUGCUUUGGCCGAGUACAGGGCUUCGGCAUCUUUUUGUUGGAAGCAACUUCGCCUAGUAAUGGAAGAUCCGGAUGUUCUAAGACUGAAGAUGAAAUUGUGGAAAGCGAUGGAAGCAGACCCUGAAUUUCACCCGCAUCAGGAUAUAACGCCUAGUGCAAAUGAACAGAAAAGACAAGUUGCCAGACAAUUGGCUCGCCUCAACCAUCUUCAUCUCUUGCCACCUAACAUAAAUCAAUUCAACUACAAGGCAAAGACAGGUUACCUGAUGACGUUGAACGAAGCAACAGCCAUAGUCAGCCCGUCGUUGUCUGUGAAGAUUGCCAUUGGAGUUUACUUAUUUGGCAAUACGCUGCUUAGUCUGGGCACUGAUCGUCACCUGCCUAUGUUUCAUGCAGUUUGGAACAAGCAGAUGCUAGGCUGUUUUGCAUUGACGGAAGUCGCCCAUGGUAGCAAUACGAAAAUGAUGAGAACCACGGCAACGUAUGAUCCAAAAACCCAACAAUUCGUACUACACACCCCCGACUUUCAGGCUGCAAAGUGCUGGAUCGGAAACUUAGGGAAAACAUGCCUAGUAGCGAUAGUCUUCGCUCAGUUGAUUACAUUGAAAGAAUGCCAUGGAUUGCACGCUUUCAUAGUCCCGAUUAGAGAUCCGAAAACCUACCUUCCGUAUCCGGGCAUCACAGUAGGGGAUAUGGGAGAAAAAAUGGGUCUCAACGGUAUUGAUAACGGUUUCCUAUUGUUCAACAAUUACCGAAUACCGAGGGAGAGUCUGCUGAAUCGAACGGGAGAUGUUUCUCCGGACGGCGAAUACGAAAGUUCCUUUUCAGAUCCUCAAAAAAUUCUUGGUGCGGCACUUGAAAAUCUCUCUGCCGGCCGGAUAGGUAUUUGCCAAGAAAGCACAAACACAAUCGGAGCCGCGGUAGUAAUAGCGGUGAGGUACGCUGCGGUUAGGAAACAGUUCGGUCAAUCAACGUCCAAUGGAAAGGGGGAAAAUCCUUUGAUCGAGUACGAGCUUCAUCGAUGGCGGUUGUUUCCCUACUUGUCUGCGGCGAUAGUUUUCAGGACCUUUAUGUCUGAAUUUACUGGAGUUUACUUGGAAAAUGUACAAAAAUCCAUGGAGGGUGAAAACAUACCAGAUCUUAGUCAGAUUGUAUCAGAAAUCCACUCAAUUAUAUCAGCGAUAAAGCCACUGAUCACCUGGACUUGUCGGGACGCAAUACGAGAGUGCAGAGAAGCUUGCGGUGGUCACGGUUACCUCAAAGCUGCUAACCUGGGUGAACUCGGUGUAAAUCACGAGCCCACCGUCACCUAUGAGGGUGACAACAAUGUCCUGCCUCAGCAGACGAGUAACUGGCUGUUACGUCAAUGGGCGGAGGUGCAAGCUGGGGCUCCGUUAUCAAGCCCUCUCGGAUCAGUAGAUUUCCUUGCUAGCGGGCCAGUCAUAUUGAAAAGGAAGUUCCAGGGAAACAGCGUCGCCGAUGUGAUGUCUAAUAAUUUUGUAAGGGAAACAAACGAGUGGCUGCUGUGUUGGCUCGUCGUACAAACGCAACGUCAAAUUGAUCAAGGUAUUCAUGGUGGGCUAGAUAACUUCACCGCACGUAACAAGGCACAGGUCUACCGUGCAGCAAAUCUUUCAAAAGUUUACGGAGAGAUGAUAGUGCAAAAGUACUGUAUCGUCAGGCUGAAACGAUUGAUUCCAACGAGAUCAGACACACGUACCUUGGAACUGGUAUUAGAUAAGGUACUUCUUCUCUACACGCUGUCCUGUCUUGAGAAGCAUCUGGCUACCCUCUACCAAGGUGGAUACUGUGAGGGGCCUCGAAUGGCAGAUUUACUGCGGGAGUCGAUCCUUAUAUUAUGCGAACAGCUGAAACCGGAAGCUCUAGGCAUCGCAGACUCAUUAGCACCUCCUGACUUCGUUUUGAAUUCUGUCCUGGGUCGAGCCGAUGGAAAAGAAUAUCAACAGGAAAGUCCACUAUCGAAAAAGUCGGCUGUAAAUAAUGUCGAGAACGUGACCGAAACUGAUUCGGCCAACACUUGAUCGGAAUUCAAUCAGAAUUUGAUCAGGAACGAUCACUCACCACGCAGAAAAAACAUACUUGUAACAAUUUUUGAGAUGGCGUUAAGGCUGUCUUAUUUAAUAUUGGCGAAUUAUCUAGAGCAUCGGAAUCUAAGUCAUAGGGGAGAUUAUUCACUUAUAAGUGGAACUUGAAGUCACAUAGCCUGCUCUUACUCUAUAGUGCAGAAACUAUUGCAUCCCGGCGAAGGAGAGUACUGACAACAGUAGCCGUGAAUGGUAUACGAACAUCUCGAAACCUCGUUUAGGUGUAAUCCAAGUGGUAUGGAGAGGGCCAAGUGGUGGAAGGAGAUGCUAACCGCCUCGGAGAAUCCUCUCAAAGUUCCCCGUGCCAAGCUCUAACAUCAUUUAGC